UACAGAGGGUGCAAGCGUUAAUCGGAAUUACUGGGCGUAAAGAGCUCGUAGGCGGUUUGUUGCGUCGGCUGUGAAAUCCCGAGGCUCAACCUCGGGUCUGCAGUCGAUACGAGCAAACUAGAGUGUUGCAGGGGAGACUGGAAUUCCUGGUGUAGCGGUGAAAUGCGCAGAUAUCAGGAGGAACACCGGUGGCGAAGGCGGAUCUCUGGGCCAUUACUGACGCUGAGGAGCGAAAGCGUGGGGAGCGAACAGG
rnacentral:rRNA from 1 species